rnacentral:rRNA from 1 species
UACGAAGGGGGCUAGCGUUGUUCGGAAUUACUGGGCGUAAAGGGUCAGUAGGCGGCCAACUAAGUCCGACGUGAAAUCCCAAAGCUUAACUUUGGAACUGCGUCGGAUACUGGAUGGCUUGAAUUCGGGAGAGGGAUGCAGAAUUCCAGGUGUAGCGGUGAAAUGCGUAGAUAUCUGGAGGAAUACCGGUGGCGAAGGCGGGUCUCUGGGCAGUAACUGACGCUGAGGAGCGAAAGCGUGGGGAGCAAACGGG